rnacentral:rRNA from 1 species
GAUGAACGCUGGCGGCGUGCUUAACACAUGCAAGUCGAACGGAAAGGCGAUGCUUUUGUGGGGUGCUCGAGUGGCGAGCGGGUGAGUAACACGUGAGUAACCUGUCCUUGAAUUUGGGAUAACUUCAGGAAACUGGGGCUCAUACAGGAUAGGAGCUCCUGCUGCAUGGUGGGGGAUGGAAAGAUUCGGCGGUUGGGGCUGGACUCGCGGCUUAUCAGCUUGUUGGUGGAGUAGUGGCUGACCAAGGUUUUGAAGGGUAGCCGGCCUUGGAGGUUGAACGGCGACCAUAGGACUGAGAGACGGACCAGACGGCUACGGGAGGCAGCAGGGGAGAGUAUGACACAACGAGCGCGAGCGUGAGGCGGCGGCGUCGCGUGCGUAAAGACCUCUUUCUAGUUGUGAACCGCUUUCGCCUGUGACGAGGCGUUAGUGACGGUAAUGGAUAAAGAAGCACCGGCUAACUACGUG